GUCGCUGUGGCCGAGUGGUUAAGGCGAUUGACUAGAAAUCAAUUCUCUUCGGGGGCAUAGGUUCGAGUCCUAUCGGCGACG
rnacentral:tRNA from 1 species